CGUGUAGGCGGAUGCGUAAGUCCGGUGUAAAAGCCCCCGGCUCAACCGGGGAAGGCCAUCGGAGACUGCGUGUCUCGAGUGCGGGAGGGGAGAGUGGAACUCUUGGUGGAGCGGUGAAAUGCGUAGAUAUCAAGAGGAACGCCGGUGGCGAAAGCGGCUCUCUGGCCCGUGACUGACGCUGAGGCGCGAAAGCUAGGGGAGCAAACGGGAUUAGAUACCCCGGUAGUCCUAGCCCUAAACGAUGGGUACUAAGUAGGGCGACUCCGAUGUUGUCUCUGCUGUAGCCAAUGUGCUAAGUACCCCGCCUGGGGAGUACGGUCGCAAGGCUGAA
rnacentral:rRNA from 1 species